AUGCUUAACACAUGCAAGUCGGACGGGAAGUGGUGUUUCCAGUGGCGGACAGGUGAGUAACGCAUAAGAACCUGCCCUUGGGAGGGGAACAACAGAUGGAAACGGCUGCUAAUACCCCGUAGGCUGAGGAGCAAAAGGAGGAAUCCGCCCGAGGAGGGCUCGCGUAUGAUUAGCUAGUUGGUGAGGCAAUAUCUUACCAAGGCAAUGAUUAGUAGCUGAUCCGAGAGGAGAUCAGCCACACUGGGACGGAGACACGGCCCAGACUUCUACGGGAGGUAGCAGUGGGGAAUUUUCUGCAAUAGGCGAAAGCCUGACGGAGCAAUGCCGCAUGGAGGUAGAAGGCCCACGGGUCGUGAACUUCUUUUCCCAGAGAAGAAGCAAUGACGGUAUCUGGGUAAUAAGAAACGGCUAACUCUGUGCCAGUAGUCGCGGUAAUACAGAGAAUGCAAGCGUUAUCCGGAAUGAUUGGGCGUAAAGCAUCUGUAGGUGGCUUUUUAAGUCUGCCGUCAAAUCCUAGGGCUCAACCCUGGACAGGCAGUGGAAACUACCAAGCUGGAGUACGGUAGGGGCAGAGGGAAUUUUCGAUGGAGCGAUGAAAUAAGUAGAGAUCGGAAAGAACACCAACGGCGAAAGCACUCUACUGGGCUGACACUGACACUGAGAGACGAAAGCUAGGGGAGCAAAUGGGAUUAGAUACCCUAGUAGUCCUAGCCGUAAACGAUGGAUACUAGGUGUUGUACAUAUCGACCCGUGCAGUGCUGUAGCUAACGCGUUAAGUAUCCCGCCUGGAGAGUACGUUCGCAAGAAUGAAACUCAAAGGAAUUAACGGGGACCCGCACAAGCGGCAGAGCAUGUGGUUUAAUACGAUGCAAAGCGAAGAACCUUACUAGGGCUUGACAUGCCACGAAUCCUCUUGAAAGCGAGGGGUGCCUUUAGGAACGCGGACACAGGUGGUGCAUGGCUGUCGAAAGGCAUAGUCGAUAGACAAUAGGUGAAUAUUCCUAUACUGCCCCUUGUUGGUCCCAAGGGACGGAGGAGGCUAGGUUAGCCGAAAGAUGGUUAUCGGUUCAAGAACAUAAGGUGUCCCUGCUUUGUCAGGGUAAGAAGGGGUAGAGAAAAUGCCUCGAGCCAAUGUUCGAAUACCAGGCGCUACGGCGCUGAAGUAACCCAUGCCAUACUCCCAGGAAAAGCUCGAACGACUUUGAGCAAGAGGGUACCUGUAACCGAAACCGACACAGGUGGGUAGGUAGAGAAUACCUAAGAGCGCGAGACAACUCUCUCUAAGGAACUCGGCAAAAU
rnacentral:rRNA from 1 species